GUGCUCACUUCAGCAGCACAUACACUAAAACUAAAGCAAUACAGAGAAGCUUAGCAUGGCCCCUGUGCAACGAUGACAUGCAAAUCCAUGUAGCAUUCCAUAUUUUU
ensembl:snRNA U6 U6 spliceosomal RNA